rnacentral:rRNA from 1 species
GAUGAACGCUGGCGGCGUGCCUAAUACAUGCAAGUCGAGCGAACGGACGAGAAGCUUGCUUCUCUGAUGUUAGCGGCGGACGGGUGAGUAACACGUGGAUAACCUACCUAUAAGACUGGGAUAACUUCGGGAAACCGGAGCUAAUACCGGAUAAUAUGUUGAACCGCAUGGUUCAAAAGUGAAAGACGGUCUUGCUGUCACUUAUAGAUGGAUCCGCGCUGCAUUAGCUAGUUGGUAAGGUAACGGCUUACCAAGGCAACGAUGCAUAGCCGACCUGAGAGGGUGAUCGGCCACACUGGAACUGAGACACGGUCCAGACUCCUACGGGAGGCAGCGGUAGGGAAUCUUCCGCAAUGGGCGAAAGCCUGACGGAGCAACGCCGCGUGAGUGAAGAAGGUCUUCGGAUCGUAAAACUCUGUUAUUAGGGAAGAACAAAUGUGUAAGUAACUAUGCACGUCUUGACGGUACCUAAUCAGAAAGCCACGGCUAACUACGUGCCAGCAGCCGCGGUAAUACGUAGGUGGCAAGCGUUAUCCGGAAUUAUUGGGCGUAAAGCGCGCGUAGGCGGUUUUUUAAGUCUGAUGUGAAAGCCCACGGCUCAACCGUGGAGGGUCAUUGGAAACUGGAAAACUUGAGUGCAGAAGAGGAAAGUGGAAUUCCAUGUGUAGCGGUGAAAUGCGCAGAGAUAUGGAGGAACACCAGUGGCGAAGGCGACUUUCUGGUCUGUAACUGACGCUGAUGUGCGAAAGCGUGGGGAUCAAACAGGAUUAGAUACCCUGGUAGUCCACGCCGUAAACGAUGAGUGCUAAGUGUUAGGGGGUUUCCGCCCCUUAGUGCUGCAGCUAACGCAUUAAGCACUCCGCCUGGGGAGUACGACCGCAAGGUUGAAACUCAAAGGAAUUGACGGGGACCCGCACAAGCGGUGGAGCAUGUGGUUUAAUUCGAAGCAACGCGAAGAACCUUACCAAAUCUUGACAUCCUCUGACCCCUCUAGAGAUAGAGUUUUCCCCUUCGGGGGACAGAGUGACAGGUGGUGCAUGGUUGUCGUCAGCUCGUGUCGUGAGAUGUUGGGUUAAGUCCCGCAACGAGCGCAACCCUUAAGCUUAGUUGCCAUCAUUAAGUUGGGCACUCUAAGUUGACUGCCGGUGACAAACCGGAGGAAGGUGGGGAUGACGUCAAAUCAUCAUGCCCCUUAUGAUUUGGGCUACACACGUGCUACAAUGAACAAUACAAAGGGUAGCGAAAUCGCGAGGUCAAGCAAAUCCCAUAAAGUUGUUCUCAGUUCGGAUUGUAGUCUGCAACUCGACUACAUGAAGCUGGAAUCGCUAGUAAUCGUAGAUCAGCAUGCUACGGUGAAUACGUUCCCGGGUCU